UAUGAGACCACACCCCUUAUGUGAGAACACUAUUAUAUGUGAGAACUCAUUAUAACCAUUGGAUCAAUUGCAUCCAACGGUCACAAUACAAUCCCGGUUUAAACAAAACCAUUUUAUUUCAAAACACUUUCUGCAUUUUUUCUCUCUCCUCCUUCCUCUUUCACGCGCAAUUUCUCUCUCCUCAUUCAAUUUCAUUCGGUUUUCUUCUCUCUUUCUCUCUGAAAUUUCAUCACAACUUCUCCAAUCUUCAUCAAUUGUUCGUCAAUAUGAUGCUUUGAAGGCGUUCCUAUCAAGGUCAGCUUCCAGCAACUCCUUGUCUGCCUCUGGGAAGGCUUCUGACCAGCCCAAGCGAACACUUGUAUCAAGUGCUGAGAUGGAAGCUAUACUGUUGGGUGGCUGCGUUUAAUCUCAUUGAAGUAUUCAAUGGCUAUGUCUCAUGAUAACAUUUUGGUGAAAAAAUUGGUAUUGGAUUUCUUUAAACAUAUUGUU